AGGUCGCCCAUCUUACCUCAAGGUAACUUUUGUUUAAAGGUGCUGAUGCUGGCAGGAUCCACUAUAGUUUGGGACACCUAAAAUUUAGGAAAAAUCAAAACCUUCUGUGACUUUCUUAGAAAACAUACAAGCUGGAAGAACAACUCUGUCUCCUUGGCUGCCUUUGCAUUUCCUGACUUGAAAACACCUUAUGAUGGCUUCCUCUGGGAUUCAAUUGAGACUUGGAAAGCUAAGAUGCAGGUUGCAGAAGUGCAAAUAGUCCUCAACUUAAAACAGUUCAUUUAGUGACUGUUCAAAGUUACAACGGCACUGACAAAAGUGACUUACGACUGCUUUUCACAC